rnacentral:rRNA from 1 species
GAUGAACGCUGGCGGCGUGCUUAACACAUGCAAGUCGAACGGAAAGGCCUCUGCUUGCAGGGGUACUCGAGUGGCGAACGGGUGAGUAACACGUGGGUGAUCUGCCCUGCACUUCGGGAUAAGCCUGGGAAACUGGGUCUAAUACCGGAUAGGACAAUGGUUUGGAUGCCGUUGUGGAAAGUUUUUCGGUGUGGGAUGAGCUCGCGGCCUAUCAGCUUGUUGGUGGGGUAAUGGCCUACCAAGGCGUCGACGGGUAGCCGGCCUGAGAGGGUGUACGGCCACAUUGGGACUGAGAUACGGCCCAGACUCCUACGGGAGGCAGCAGUGGGGAAUAUUGCACAAUGGGCGCAAGCCUGAUGCAGCGACGCCGCGUGGGGGAUGACGGCCUUCGGGUUGUAAACUCCUUUCGCUAGGGACGAAGCGAAAGUGACGGUACCUGGAGAAGAAGCACCGGCUAACUACGUG